UGUUGUGUACUCAAAGAACCUUAAACUGUAUUUUAAGUGCUCCAAAACUCUUUUUCUCAAUAAAAGGGUUAUGGUGGAACCAUCUAUAGUCUUUGUGGUUCUUCCAGGAACCUAGAAGAUUCUUGAAUAACCCCAUAUUCAGUUGUGGAGUUCUGGAGUCACCUUUUCACUACACUGGGACCUCAAAGUGCUUUGCGGGUUAUUGAAGGAACUCAAAUUCUAAAAAAUGGUUCUUGUAAGAUCUGUAAACUUGUAAGUGGUUCCUGGAGAAUCUCUCUUGUACAAGACAGUAUCUAGAGGAACCCCAAAAAAUUCUGCAUGAAAUAGGGAUUUUUAGUGUCUGAUCAUUUUGAUGUUUUAUGAGAAUAAGAAUAGUCCAAAGUUUGGUUUUUGGCCCCUGCUAAGUGAACACACAUUUUAAAAUCAUGCACAUGAUUAGAAAAGGCUAAAUGUUAUUUUGAAAAAUUUCAGCAAGCUUUUUGAUUAUUUUAUAUUUCUUACUAUUUGUAUUAUAUAAUUAAUUAUAUUAAUAUAUUAUAAAUAAACAUUUUUAUUCUAUAAGUAGAUCCUAAGUCACUGAAAUCUUUUGAAAAUGUAAACGUUGUUGUGCUUUCCAUCCAAACAAACUGCAGCUGCUCUGUGUGUUUAUUGUGCAGUCUCGCCCUCCACAGUACUGUGGCGCUGUUGGCCCAAUGUCGCAGCGUCAAGGCAUGUGCCAUGUGGCGCUUUCGUUAGUAUGUGUGUUUAACUUUUUCCAGCUCUGCGCAGACCGAUCACCUUAUGACAAAAAGCAUACGGACUUAGAAUAACAUCUCUAAAGCAUACAGAGCAGUCAGUUCACAAAUAGCUCUCACUGUGCUUUGAUGUCGCCGAUCCGUCUGCGAUCAAACAUCAGUGGCACGAGUGUUCACCGGUGUUGUUCUGCUCGCGCGACAGGCGGGAAUUCAAAAUAACGGAUCGCAACAACCUCUCGACUGUCCCAUUGGAUAAUUUUCAGUAUUUUCCAGUUGAGCAGCAAAAAAAUGGGCAACCAAGGCCAACAGACCCAGCCCACCCUGAUGCUCAUCCUUGCACUGCCUGGGACACCUAAGGCCAACAGGCGCAGCUCCUGUUCUCUUUUUGCCAUAAAUACUUUAGCAAUGUAAAAUUGUGAAAUGUACUAUAGAAAUAAUUUUUACUUUGGCUACAUGGAUCCUCACACCACCUGGUAAUAGCAGGAAACCCAUUAGGAGAGAACAGCAUUGUUUUCUCUAGCUCGCAAGGAUUUGCUUUUUGGCAAAUUACAACUUUACCAUGGGUGUAGGCCUUGCUAUGAGAGACUACUUUUUUGCUGGACUUUUUUACAAUUGUACAUUUGUACAAAGUACCUGAAAUAUUUCUGUAUGUACAGUAUAUUUAAAAGUAAGGCAAAUUAUUUGGUUAGUUUUGUUAAGAUAAAGACUUUUCAUUUAUAACAAUA